UAUGCCUUCAAUGUACACUGUAUGCUAACUGUAACACAAAUGUAUUAAUCAUUAUUUUUCUUUCCUCCCCCAGCUCCAAGAAGAUGAGACAGCUCAAAAUAAAAAUUAGCAAUCAGUACAACCAAGUCAUCGUUAUAAGGCAUCGCCCUCUUUUGCCCACCCCCCCAGCACCAGGUGUGGCCACUAGCCUAUAUGAAGGCCCAAAAUUGUGUGUUCCUUUCUGCUCUGACAAUGGCAUGCCCAUUCGUGCGAGAUGUGGUGGAUGAAGAAGCACUUGUGCUGAGGAGAGCCUUCAGGCGAGAAAGGGUCUUCAGGGACCGGUUGGACCCACUGGCCUUCCCUGAUGACCAUCUAUAUGAAAGAUACAGGGUUUCUGCAGAUGGCAUCAGGUAUCUAUGCAGACUACUGGGUCCCAGGAUUAAGCACCGCACUGCACGGAGCCAUGCACUGAGUGUGGAGCAAAUGGUUUGUGUGGCCUUGCGCUUUUUUGCUAGUGGAGCCUUCCUGUACUCAGUGGGGGAUGCAGAACAGCUGAACAAGGCCACAAUUUGCCGCACAAUAAGGAGUGUGUGUCUGGCUAUCAAAGCAUUAGCAGAUGUCUUCAUCUCCUUCCCUGGCCACAGAAGACUCUGUGACAUCAAAGAGGAGUUCUAUAGGAUUGCAGGUAAGAGGAUCUACAAAUUACAGGACAACUGUUAACACAUAGUAGGAUACUCAUUACUUUGUGUGACAGGUUUCCCCAAUGUCAUUGGUGCAGUGGACUGCACACACAUAAGGUUAAAAGCCCCCUCAGGUGCCCAUGAGGCCGAUUUUGUGAAUAGGAAAUCCUUUCACAGCAUUAAUGUUCAGGUGAACAUAACUUUUUGAUAUUGUCCAUUGACGAACACUCUGCAUUGCCAGUGAUGUGCAUUGAUUGGUGUAAUAUUCCUCAUCUUAUGAUUUCAGAUGGUCUGCAAUGCUGACUGUGUGAUCAGCAAUGUUGUGGCAAAAUGGCCUGGCUCAGUCCAUGACUCCAGAAUCUUUCGGGCCUCUGAAAUCUAUCAGUGCCUAUCACAAGGUGAAUUCUCUGGUGUGUUGCUGGGAGACAGGGGGUAUGGCUGCCAGCCUUUUCUCCUGACACCUUUCACAGACCCCCAGGAAGCACAGCAGGCCUACAACCAUGCCCAUGCCAGGACCAGGGCCAGAGUUGAAAUGACCUUUGGCCUCCUGAAGGCACGCUUUCACUGCCUUCACAAAUUAAGGGUCAGCCCUGUUAGGGCAUGUGAUAUUACUGUGGCUUGUGCUGUCCUCCACAAUGUGGCCUGCCUGAGGAAGGAGAGGGCCCCCAGAGUGCCACCAGCCAUGGACUGGGACAAUCCGGCAAUCUUCCCUGAUGACGACAGUGGUCGGCUGCUGAGGGACCAAUAUGUGUUGAAUUAUUUUAGUUAGUAUGUGUGCUUUCAAUUUUGGUUAAAUAUGUCCUGCGGUGGCAGAGGAAUUUGGUUUUUUUUGGGUUCGUUUUUUUACGAAUUUGGCCUCUUAUGAUGUUUGUGCGGUAUACUGUGUGUAAUGCAAGGCUGCAGGGAGGCUACUGCAUCCAUUCAUUUGUCUGUUCAGUUGAUGUGUAUGGAUUUGUCCUGCAUUUAUUUUAGUGUGCAGACAUGCAGGGUGUGUUAUAUACAGACCUUUGAAUGUGUAUGUAUCAUUUUGUAUAAUAUGCUUGGAUUCUGUGCUUUCCAUCUUGUAGAGUCACUGUGACUUCAGUUUCGAAAGGAGCUGAUGGUUUACCUGCUUUGUUUUGUCCUUAUUCAAUAACAUUUAACAUUUAACAUUUAAGUCAUUUAGCAGACGCUCUUAUCCAGAGCGACUUACAAAUUGGUGCAUUCACCUAAUGACAUCCAGUGGAACAGCCACUUUACAAUAGUGCAUCUAAAUCUUUUAAGGGGGGGCAGAAGGAUUGCUUUAUCCUAUCCUAGGUAUUCCUUGAAGAGGAAUAAAGGAACAUAAUGUUACACAUUGUGUUUUUAUAUUCAUAUGGAAUGUGUAUUUGUUUAUAUGACAGAGUACUAGGGCCACACUGAAGAAAAAGGAUAAAGUCAUAAAUUUAUGAGGCUGGUUCUUUCUGCAGAAAAGCUACAUAUUGUUUUUACAGUUUUGAUACUUAUGACAAUGUGAUACUUAAUAUUCUGGCACAUCAGCAUGUCUUUGUUUAUGAAACCAUACUGAAGUACAAUUUCACGAAAUGCCCCACAUCUGUCAUUUUAACAACUGUCCUCCUUUAAAACAACUGGUUACAAUAUUAUUACUUGUGUUUUUUUUCCCUCUGUGGCCCUAAUAUUCUAUCAUUUUAUAUAUAGCCUUAUAGUCUAUGGGAAACUGUAAAUUAUCUAAUGAUAGCAACAUCAUCAAAAAAUUAUUUUUUAUCCGAAAUUAAUGAUCACAAACGUUUAAAUAAUGACAGUGGGUCUAGUUAUAUGUGAUAACAAUGUAUAGUGAGCAGUGAAAUAACUAUUGGUUUCCAUUUGUGGUGACUGCUGACUGACAUUAGGGAUGAGAUUAAAUAGAUCCUGGAAUUUAGCCUGGUCUGGAGCAGGCUAGCUCCACAGAAUAAAUCUCCAUGGUAAUUUAUACCAUAACAUAUCCUCCUGCCCCCUAUCCAUCUUUAGUGCAACCGGAUUACGGAUCAAUUGAGCCAGGAUCACCAAGAUAUCCUGGCUUAAUCCCUUAUCCUAGUUUUGUGCAACAGGCCCCUGUGCUUCUACAGUGAAACACAUCUCACAUCUGUGCUGUUUGAGAGAGAUGUUGUUAGACUACAUUGUAUCAUUGUUUCCUCUUCUGAGGGCACUGGUGGGGAACAACAUUUUUUCAAUCUUAUUUGCAGGUGCAUGGCAACAAUUGAACAAGAUGAAGGAAAAAGGAAACCGCACACUGCUCUUGAUAGUAUCACCGAUGUUUCCUUUUUCCUUCAUAAAUGUCAAUACAUGCCUUUGAUACUCAGAAACAUGUAUUUACCACAUCAAAAUCUUCAUAUUUUACAUUACUUUAGAAAUUCUCUUAAGAACAAGCAUAUGAGGUUCACAUAUGGGAAAAAUCAUCAAUAUCAAUUGUAAUUUAAUACACCUUUGCCACCGAAAUAUGUACCAUGAUGGUAAUGGACUUAGCGUUGUGGUAAUAGAUUGUGGUGGAAAUUACAUUUCAUAUAAAACGACUAAUGAAAAAUACCAUAAACAUUUUAAUGUCACAGUAGUACAUGUUUGAUUUGAUUGAAGAUAUAGAACAGGCCAUUUGUUCCAAUUCAUCCCAAAGGUGUUCGAUGUUAACUCUCACACUUGCAUCAUGUAAUUUGGCGUUCAGCUGGGGUACUGUGAAAAGCUGUAACAGGCCAACAGUGGGAUUUUUUUCAGUAUAAUUGAACUGCUGUCCUUUUACGACCCAGUUCUGAAAGAACUUUUAGAACGCCCCGCAGGAUCCGUUAACUAUCUCAGUCCUCAAAUCCAAAAUGAGCUGAUUUAUAUCUUAGCCGAGCGAGUGAAGUGUGACAUUCAGGGAGAGAUGCAGGAAGCCCCAUUUUCUUCUAUUAUUAUGGACACCACACCGGAUGUAUCCAAAGUAAACCAGUUACGCCAAGUUUAUCGCCAAGAGAGAAUGAUAAGGGAUGGAAAUAAUGUCGCCACAGAUCUGACCAUCACAGAGUUGUUUUGGGGAUUUCUGGAGACUUCAACAUAAAAACCUUCGGCAGCAUAGAGGAUAAGGGGCUGGAUAUUUCAACAUGUCGUGGGCAGGGGUAUGAUGGAGCUGCUAACAUGAGUGGGGUGUAUUCGGGUGUGCAGGCCAGAAUAUCUCAAAAGGAGCCGCUUGCUGUUUAUGUGCAUUGCACAGAGCAUAAUCUUAACCUGGCUCUCAACGACUAUCAAAAAUGUGCCAGAGAUUAAACAGUUUAAACAAUAUGAUACUGUUGAACUGUUAUACACCUUCUUCAGGUAUAGCAUAAAGAGAUGGUCAAUGUUGAGGGGUUAUAUUUGAUUUUGCAUCAGAAAAUGUAACUCUAAAACGACUGUGUCCCACCCGCUGGUCAUCUAGAUAUGAGUCCGUUGCCGCCCUGAGAUACAGAUAUGUGGACGUAAUGAAGGCCCUCACCAACAUCGUGCUUUUAAGUGACAAGAAGGAUGAGAUGGAUGAUGCAGCAGCACUUAAAUGUUAGUCGUUCUGCAGACUAAGGUUUUAGAAAACCUGAACGUCGUCUCCAAAAUGCUACAGGCCAAAGACGCAGACCUGCACAGGGCAGUUAGCCUACUCAAGGACAUUAUAGAGGUCCUGUCCGGAUUCCCACAGGAUUUUGAGAAGGCCAAAGUCACUGCAAAGACCCUUGCCAACAAAUGGGGAGCUCAGAACGCAUUUGAAGACACUUGGAGAAGGAAGGCAAGGAAGGCGAGGCGUCAUUUUGAUGAGCUAUGCGAGGACGAGCGACUGUCUGAUGGGGUGAGUAGUUUUAGAGUCAACAUCUUUAAUGCAAACCUUGACAUCGUUAUUCACCAGCUGUCAAACCGAUUUAAAAGCCUGCGGGCAACAUCGAGUCUGUUUGACUCCAUCCAUCCCACUACCCUGGCCAACGCAGAUGAUGAUGCGCUCUACGAGACGGCCAGCCAUCUGGCUGAACA